GGGGAAUCUUGCACAAUGGGGGAAACCCUGAUGCAGCGACGCCGCGUGAACGAUGAAGCCCUUCGGGGUGUAAAGUUCUUUCGACAGGAACGAUAAUGACGGCACCUGGAGAAGAAGCUGCGGCUAACUACGUGCCAGCAGCCGCGGUAAUACGUAGGCAGCGAGCGUUGUUCGGAGUUACUGGGCGUAAAGAGUGCGUAGGCGGCGAGCCAAGUUUGGUGUGAAAUCUCCCGGCUUAACCGGGAGGGUGCGCCGAAAACUGGUUGGCUGGAGUAUGGGAGAGGAAAGCGAAAUUCCGGGUGUCGCGGUGAAAUGCGUAGAUAUCAGGAGGAACACCUGCGGUGUAGACAGCUUUCUGGACCAAAACGGACGCUGAGGCACGAAAGCGUGGGUAGC
rnacentral:rRNA from 1 species